rnacentral:rRNA from 1 species
GUUAUUAGCAUGGAACGAACAAUAGUGUAAAAAGUGUACUGGCAAAGGUGUAAAUUUACACCUCGGUGCACGACACCGACCGCCAAUUACGGAUGUUGGUUCCGAAUUGGGGUAAUGAUUAAGAGGAGCGAUUGGGGGCAUUAGUAUUUGGCAGCGAGAGGUGAAAUUCUUAGACCUGCCAAGGACUAACAAAUGCGAAGGCAUCUGUCCAGAUCGCAUCCAUUAAUCAAGAACGAUAGAAAGGGGUUUGACGAUGAUCAGAUACCAUCUUAAUCUUUUCUGUAAACUAUGCCGACCCGGGAUCAGUUGCGUGAUGUGGACGCUCGGAGUUGGUCCCCCUGGGAAACCUAAAGUGUUUCGGUUGCGGGGGGAGUAUGGUCGCAAGGCUGAAACUUAAAGGAAUUGACGGAAGGGCACCACCAGGGGUGGAGCCUGCGGCUUAAUUUGACUCAACACGGGAAAACUUACCCGGGCCGGACAUUUAAAGGAAACUCGAGACUAGAGAUCUUAGUUGAUAAAAUGAGUGGUGGUGCAUGGCCGUUCUUAGUACGUGAAGUGAUUUGUAAACUUGAUUGUUGAAACGUGCGAGACGACGGUCUCCAGUUGAGGAGCCAGAGAGGGCGUCGAUCCGAGCGAUUUUUGGCGACAAAAAUUGCUGAGAUUGGCGUUGAAGGCAGUGUUGGUUGGUGGGGUUGAGAUUUGAGCGAUUAAAUUGAAAUCACACCAAAAUCGGCACUCCCUCUGGCCGAGCGGAAUGAGAUUCGCAAGUGUUUAGUUUUGUAUCAUGGAGAGACAACGGAAUAUACUCAAAUCCGAGCAAGUGUCGCCAUAACAGGUCUGUGAUGCCCUUAGAUGUCCGGGGCUGCACGCGCGCUACAAUGGCAGUGACAGCGAGUGUCUGCAUCGAAAGAUGUGGGUAAGCUUGUAAUCACUGCCGUGAAGGGGAUUGAUGUUUGUAAAUACGUCAUGAAAGAGGAAUCCCUAGUAGGUGCGAUUCAUGAGAUUGCACCGACUAAGUCCCUGCCCUUUGUACACACCGCCCGUCGCUACUACCGAGUGAAUAGUGUCAUGAUGCCUUGGGAGCGGACGUCUGUUGAGUGUUUCGCUCAACGGAUGCUGCAAUCAGCGUAGAAUGGCGCAAUUUCGAGGAAGUAAAAGU